GCUUACGGCCAUACCACCCUGAACACGCCCGAUCUCGUCUGAUCUCGGAAGCAAAGCAGGGUCGGGCCUGGUUAGUACUUGGAUGGGAGACCGCCUGGGAAUACCAGGUGCUGUAAGCU
ensembl:rRNA 5S_rRNA 5S ribosomal RNA